rnacentral:rRNA from 1 species
AUGCGACCCCAGGUCAGGCGGGACUACCCGCU